rnacentral:rRNA from 1 species
UACAGAGGUCCCGAGCGUUGUUCGGAUUUAUUGGGCGUAAAGGGUGCGUAGGCGGCGGAGUAAGUUGGUGUGAAAUCCCGGGGCUUAACCUCGGAAUUGCAUUCAAUACUGCUUCGCUUGAGUACUGGAGAGGAGGCUGGAAUUUACGGUGUAGCAGUGAAAUGCGUAGAUAUCGUAAGGAAGGCCGGUGGCGAAAGCGAGCCUCUGGACAGUUACUGACGCUGAUGCACGAAGGCCAGGGGAGCAAACGGG